AUUAUAAGCACUGCCUUUUAGCUCAUCCUUUAGAACUCACAAGAUAAUAAGCUCGUUAUAGACUUUUGAGUUGCAGAGAUUAGACAGCAUCUGAGUAAGAAAAUUCUCUCCUUUUUUCUUGAGAUGGCUCUAGUGGGUAGCUUUAUGCCUAAUAAGGUCUUGCUCCCAAUGCCCAACUCCAGGCUCAGCUUCUAUCAGCGUAAAACUAUGUUCAUAAGAUGUGGUGCACGAACGCGGGGAAAGCCCAGCGAUGGGAAGCCUCCACAGAUCAACACAGGACGGAAAGCGAAAGCCAUGGAUCCGAGUCAGAGAGAAGAGAAUGUUACUCUUUCUAGCUUCAAUAAUAGUGAAAAAGAAAGCAAGAAAAGCAAGGGAAA
rnacentral:misc_RNA from 1 species